AAAAAGAUAAGUUAAGUUUAAACUGUUUGGUUCAUACUCAAAAAAUAUAAAAAUUUAUUCUUUUUA
rnacentral:tRNA from 1 species